rnacentral:rRNA from 1 species
AUGAUGGCGCUCAUGGCUUCUCUUCAGCUCGAUUCUACCCUAGCAGUCCUCUGCCUCGCCUUCGUAGCCUCUUGCAUCUUCCUCGUUGCUAGAAGCCGCAAGGAUGGCGCACGCGGGUCACCGCCACCUUCGCCUCCGGCGCUGCCCGUCAUCGGCAACCUGCACCAGCUCGGCCGGGGCCGCCACCACCGGAGGCUGCAAGCCCUCGCGCGGAGCUACGGCCCGCUCUUCCUCCUCCGCCUCGGCUCCGUGCCCGCCGUCGUGGUCUCCUCCCCGUCCCUGGCCGAGGCCGUGCUCAAAACCCAGGACCACGCCUUCUGCAGCCGGCCGCAGCCGCGCACGGCCCGCGGCACGCUCUACGGCUGCCGUGACAUGGCCUUCAGCCCCUACGGCGAGCGGUGGCGCCAGCUCCGCCGCAUCGCCGUGCUGCACCUCCUCAGCGCGAAGCAGGUCGACUCCUUCCGCUCCCUCCGGCAGCAGGAGGUCAUGGGAUUCGUGGAACGGAUCCGCGCCGGCGCACGGGAGGGAGCAGUCAACGUGACCGAGCUCGUCAUCAGCCUCACCAACACCGUCAUCUCCAAGGCGGCGUUCGGGAACAGGCUCGGCGGCGUCGACCCAGGGGUGGUCCGCCACAUGAUGAAGGAGCUCACCGAGCUGCUCGGGACCAUCGCCGUUAGCGACGUGUUCCCGCGGCUCCGGUGGGUGGACUGGGCGACGGGGCUCGACGCGAGGAUCAGUCGGACGGCGGCUGAGCUCGACAGGGUCAUCGAGAAGACGCUCGCGGAGCACGAGGGGAGCCGAGGAAACGACGGUGAGGAGGUGCAUGACCUCCUGGACGGCUUGCUCUCGAUCUUCAAGGAUGGCGAUCAGGGGUUUAGGCUGGACCGGACUGAUGUCAAGGCGCUCAUCUUGGACAUGUUCAUAGGAGGCACGGACACGAUCUAUAAGGCGAUAGAAUGGACGAUGGCCGAGCUUGUUAAGAACCCAAGAGAAAUGGAAAAGGUGCAAGCAGAGGUGAGACAAGUUGCUGCCGGUACGCAGGGAGGAGUCCUUGAGGAGGAGCUGGAGACAAUGAGCCUCCUCCACGCUGCCAUGAAAGAGGCACUACGGCUACAUCCGCCCAUACCCCUCUUCCCGCACGAGUCGAUUCAGAACACCCGGCUGCACGGCUACGAUAUCCCAGCCAAGACCCGGAUCAUGAUCAACGCAUGGGCGAUCGGAAGGGACAGCGAGUCAUGGGAGGACGCCGAUGAGUUCCGGUCAGAGAGGUUCAUGGACAGGGCCAUGGACUACAGUGGCAAGGACCCCCGGUUCAUACCGUUCGGCGCGGGGAGGAGGGGAUGCCCCGGUAUCGCCUUUGGGAUGCGGCUGGCGGAGCUCACACUAGCUAACAUGAUGUACCAUUUCGAUUGGAUGUUGCCUGAGGGCCAGGACCCGGAGUCAUUUGAGGUCGUUGAGUCCAACGGCUUCGCACCUGCUCUUCAGUACCCUUUGAUCCUUGUCGCAAAACCUUUGUAA